GAAGUGGCGGAAUUGGUAGACGCACCAGAUUUAGGUUCUGGCGCCGUAAGGUGUGAGAGUUCAAGUCUCUCCUUCCGCACCA
rnacentral:tRNA from 1 species